rnacentral:rRNA from 1 species
GAUGAACGCUGGCGGCGUGCCUAAUACAUGAAAGUCGAGCGAACGGACGAGAAGCUUGCUUCUCUGAUGUUAGCGGCGGACGGGUGAGUAACACGUGGAUAACCUACCUAUAAGACUGGGAUAACUUCGGGAAACCGGAGCUAAUACCGGAUAAUAUUUUGAACCGCAUGGUUCAAAAGUGAAAGACGGUCUUGCUGUCACUUAUAGAUGGAUCCGCGCUGCAUUAGCUAGUUGGUAAGGUAACGGCUUACCAAGGCAACGAUGCAUAGCCGACCUGAGAGGGUGAUAGGCCACACUGGAACGGAGACACGGUCCAGACUCCUACGGGAGGCAGCAGUAGGGAAUCUUCCGCAAUGGGCGAAAGCCUGACGGAGCAACGCCGCGUGAGUGAUGAAGGUCUUCGGAUCGUAAAACUCUGUUAUUAGGGAAGAACAUAUGUGUAAGUAACUGUGCACAUCUUGACGGUACCUAAUCAGAAAGCCACGGCUAACUACGUG